CGUGAACGCUGGCGGUAGGCCUAACACAUGCAAGUCGAACGGCAGCACAGGAGAGCUUGCUCUCUGGGUGGCGAGUGGCGGACGGGUGAGGAAUACAUCGGAAUCUACCUUUUCGUGGGGGAUAACGUAGGGAAACUUACGCUAAUACCGCAUACGACCUACGGGUGAAAGUGGGGGACCGCAAGGCCUCACGCUCUUAUAUAAGCCCAUGUCCGAUUAGCUAGUUGGCGGGGUAAUGGCCCACCAAGGCGACGAUCGGUAGAUGGUCCUGAGAGGAUGAUCAGCCACACUGGAACUGAGACACGGUCCAGACUCCUACGGGAGGCAGCAGUGGGGAAUAUUGGACAAUGGGCGCAAGCCUGAUCCAGCCAUACCGCGUGGGUGAAGAAGGCCUUCGGGUUGUAAAGCCCUUUUGUUGGGAAAGAAAUCCUGUCGAUCAAUACUCGGUGGGGAUGACGGUACCCAAAGAAUAAGCACCGGCUAACUUCGUGCCAGCAGCCGCGGUAAAAC
rnacentral:rRNA from 1 species